CCAUAAGCCAUUUAGGUAUCAUGUAUUGUGCUCUGCAUUUUAAAAUGACUGUGUUUAACAGUAGGAACUUUAAACAAUGUAUGAAAGGAUGGAAAACCAUCUUGGAAAGAUGGCAAAAACCAAGAGUCCCACACAAGUUACAGUUGCCUGCAGAAUGAAGUAACUACAUUUAUAAAGUGUUGCAUUUUAACUAAUACAGAUGUUGAGUACUGGUGGUGCCUCUCGGUCAGGUGGAAAUGGCUGUGUUUCCGUUCAUCUUGGUAUAAAUAACAAUGUCAGUGUCAAUCAGUACUGCUCAUGAAAGGGAUUUUCUUAGGUUGCUGGAUACUUAUUACUUUUAUUGAGUAAAAUGGUAUAGUACAAAUUGUAGUUCAUAUUUUCAGAUAUCAUUAAAAGAAUGUUUUCCCCAUGCGGGGCAUGCUGUCCAUAGCACCUGCUGGCGAGGCCAGUGAAUUAGAGCUCAGAUCAUUUCUGACACUUCUACCUGCAAAGGAAUCCCACAUCAUACCCAUCAGGACUACAGGAUUCUUAAGGGUGUGGCAGGAAAAUACUCUAGGUACAAAUUCAUUAAAUCCUCACAGCAGUCCCAUGAGAUAGAUACUGUUAGUCCCAUUUUACUGAUGAAGAAAAUGAGACACAAAGAAGGAAACUGGCUACCGGGUGAUGGGCUGAAUUUGAAUUUGAAGUUUGGUACUAGAUCUUUCCUCUUCGGCACCAGGCUUUCCUUCUUUUCUAUCAUUUUAGCCACCAAAAUGAUAUUUAAGGGAUUUGAAUUACUUCUCAUUUAGGCCUAAAAUUUCCUUUAAAUACCCUGAUAUGAGGAUUUUAUUUCAUGUUUAAGAUAUAUUUUUGUUCAUCUUGCCUUGAUGAAUUCUAAAUAAUGACUUGGGGGAAAAAACCCAUGUCUAACUGUUUAGGAUAUGUGCAUUUUUAUGUUUCAUUCUUAAAGGCACCUUUAGUACUGGCUAAAAGAGAUAUGAGUAUCUAGAAUAGAUCAUUAGAGCGGUUUCAGGGAAAUCAUUCCUGAAAUUAUUUUUGUCAGAGCAAAGCCUGAGGAUUUUAUAAGAUGAGUAAACGAUCUACCAACUGAUGAGAAGGCCAUUUGAAAAUCCAGCCUAAAUGAAAUUACAUUCUUACUUGUCUUAAAGUGAAGUAUUGUUUCAUUUUUGGUUCAUUUCAAUUUGACCUUCUCAUGGUGCAUGAAGAGAAAAGACUUUGGGCUUUCAACAAGUUGCUAACGUGAAUCUUGAAUGAAGGAAAAAAUGGGGACAUCAUUUUUCAGUUUCAUAAAGGUUAGCCUCAAUGCUUAAAAUCUUUAUUUUGGUAAAAUCUUUUUUUUUUCCCUUUGUACUCACUUGCUUAAACUAAAAUCAGAGAUCUCAUAGUUUACAUUAAAAAAAAAAAAACAACAACCCUUGGUUCGUUCAGAAGAAAAAAAUCACAGAUGGCUAAAAAAUUUUUAAAAAGGAAUGUUGAGGUGUCUUUGGAAAGCUAACGAUUUGGCAAUUUUUAAGUCAUUCCUAAUCUUGAAAAAAAUAAAAUACAAGCAAACUGGGGUAUUAGAGGCAGAUGCGCACAACCCAACAGCAGAAGCAACAGAACCCACAGGAAGCAAAACUUAAUUUAAUCCUUAUCACCUCAGCGUGACGUACCAAGAGGCUUUGAGGCUGUAUCUUUUCCAUGUGAACAUUCCUGCUUCCAAGUGAGGGUGAUCAUGGAGAGAAUGACAACAGUGCCCCUUGCUUGUUUUCCCUGUUGUGCUUCAGGUGGUGUUGAAAAUAUCCGAAGUCUCUUCUUUUUUUCCUCUCUGUCUUCUGGGCUUCCACGUCCCUUAGGACACAGAUCUGCUUUAAAACUGCCAUGAUGGCUUCAUGAAAUUGUCUGAGUCAAGCUUAAGGAGAGUAUGGAUUCUUUGCUUUUUGCGAGUACGCAAUGAAAGGCGCGGAUUCUGUUCUUGGAUCUUGUUCAGUAAAUUGAAAGGAGAAAGCUAAAUCUGGUGCUUUUCCUCCGGGAGCUGGGAUCAUUUUAGAGUAGGCCGUAUUGUGGGACUUAAAAUUGGUUAAUUAUAGCAUUUGACAGGUUUCUCGUAAUAAUAAUAGUUAGCAUUUAUACAGCCUGUUUCAUCUUCAAAGCAUUUCACAAGCACUAAUUAAUUCUCACAGCAUGCCUGUGAGGUGGGUAAGUAUCAUCAUCCCCAUUUUACAGACAUAUAAAUUGAUGCAAGCCAAGUUAAGAGUCAUCCAAUAGGCCAUAGUGGGAAGUCAGAGUCUAAAACCAAGAUGGAAACUCAGGCGUGGCUGGCACCUAAAUCUUUUUCCUUGGCCCUAAAUUAGGCUUCUUCCUUCUUUUCCCCAUCUUCUCAUCUUUUUUUUUUUUUUAAGUCCUAGAAGGGACUCUGUGUGGUGUUUUCCUUUUUCAGUCUUCCUCAUAGAAAAUAGUUUUUUUAACACUGCCCCAGAAAUAAAUAAAUCAUCUCAGUAUAACAGCUUUAAAGACCUAAUAUGUCUGAUCAGGUUAUAAAUAUUUCGGAAAGUCAGGAAAUGAAUUAGGUUUGGGUGCAAGAAAGGGUUCCAAAUUACAUUUUGCCUAAUAAAUAUUGUAUCCGUAAACAGUAAAAGUAAUGAUAGUGAUUAGUUAACAGUACCAAAUAAAACGUACAUUUAAAAUGAACCUGACCGGGCAUUUUUGUGUCAGACUGACUGAUGUGUACACAGUCCAUUCUUUGAAAAAUCAAGGCACUCAUUUGAAUUGUAAAUUGCCAACAUUGUAAAUUGUAAAUUGCGCUAGUCUUAUUGUGCUGAGAUGUGACAAAUUACAAAUGGAAUAUUGGCUGGGCUUCCAUAGCGUGCAUUUCUCUUCUGCUUGCUGCUACUAUCACCAUUAAUCUCUUUUGCAGAAGCUGCAUGGAGAAUUGUUCUGGACAUGGAAAGGACAUUAAGUUGCAUUGUUGGCUUUUGCUGGGCUCUGUGUGGCUUCUCUGACCUCUAACUUUUCAUAUUGGUGUAAUUCAGUACAGUGCUACUCGUUUUGGGUCCUGCUGUGUGUGGAUAUAAGAGGUUCUGGCACAGUUUAUACCUGCCAGCUCACUUAAUAAAUAUUGUGUUACAGUCCAAAAUUUUGGCUAAAAUGUGUUAAGUAUAUCUCACAGUGGAAUGUGAUCCUUUAAAAAAUUCAUAUCAAAAUCACAAAAUGUAUCAAGGAUGAGUGGAUUCUUAUUCCAUUCUCGUUUUACACAUAGGGAACCUGAAAUUGAAUGCUGUUCGUAAAGAUUGGGUUUUAGAUUUAAAGCAGCCUAUGUAACUGUCAGAACUAGAGACUGUAGUAUCUUCAGGUGGAAUGCUUAGCCUGUGUACAUAUUUAAUGUUUCUAAUUGUUGAGUUUCAUCCGAGAACACAAAUAAGUUACAUGUAUAACUUUGGACAUGUGUAUACAUAUAGAAGUUACUUUUCCAGUCAGGCACUGUAAAAGUGGUCUAUUGGGUUGGCAACAAUAACCCAUGAAAAUUGUUGAUGCCAGAAUAAAGGUUAGUUGCAGCUUUUUGUUUUUAAUAGUUCAUAGUGAAAGGAUUCAUAUGUAUUGAGUGGGAGGUGAAGUUGAAAAUGUUGCCCUAUGAUGAUAAAGAAAGGUGGAUAGUAAGAAAGUAUAGUGGAAACCCUCUUAACCCACCUCCAUGUAUCCAGCGCUCUCUGGACUCUGUAAAAUGCACCACCUGAUGUCCAAGCACGCUGAGUGCCUUCAGACAGUAGACCGUAUUCUCCAAUGCAACGUGGAUACACUCUUCCUACUACUGUUGACACGACUGUUUACUAGGAGUCGGUGGGGAUUGUUCCAAACCUCUUGUGGCAUUUGAACUUACCAUUGUAUUUCCAUAAACAAAUUAAAUAGCAUAUAAAGUUGUGAUAUCUAAGAACGAAAAGAAAGUUCUUCUAUGACUUUGAAAGUAGCUGUUUCAGAAAGAUUUAAUGAAAUUUUAUCUCUUGAAGUAUCAAAUUAAGUGUGGGUGAGACGAUGAUAAAAGAUUAAGGGAAAGAUUGUAAGCAUUCAGAAAUUUUAGAGGGUUUAUUAUAUGCAUGGGUUUAUGUAAGAAGGACAGCGUGGUAUCGAAUUCAAACAGUGGCAAAAAAUGUAUCAUGUGUUUCAACCUACGAUGAAUGAUUGAAUUGAAGAAUAUAGGAACGGAUUAAAAUAAAAAGUGGCACUGUAUGUGGCAUUGUUAAUGAUUCCCUGUUUCAGCAGUUAACUGAUGACUGAUCAGUCAGCUAGUGAGGUGACUUCUGCAGUGGCAGCAGAUCAAGAGUUGCUACUCCUAGCUCCUAGGUCUGCCUUUUCAUUCCAUACACCUAAAACCUCCAGACGUCAAUUGGUUGGUUGAGUUUACUUAGGUUUAUAACAUUAUUGGUGUUUUAUAUCCCUUAGUAUUUACUAAUACUUAUUAUACUUACUACUUUACUAAUAAUACAUACUCCCACUAGUAUUCUACUUCGCCUCUGAUGUUUGUGUAUUUUGGAAUAUUGAUAUUGAUUAUGAGGGUUUCCAUUAUGCGGUUUUGCCAAUUUGCACAAAAACUUAAAGACGUUAGUAUUUCCUCCAUAAUGGAGCUCAUAACCCAGGAGAAGUACAGUGGGACUAUAAAUUCUAAACUCUAAGGGACGAAGACAUGUUAGUGGUCUGAAGAAUAGAACAGACACACCACAAUCAGGAGGCAGUGUGUGGCAUUUGAAGGUUUCUCAUGCCAAACCAUACCCUACCAUCGUUCCACAGAAAUGUAAUCUGCACACACUUUGAGGAGUGAGAGAAACAUGAUCCCUGGGAGCAGGCUUUUAGAUGCUAGAUGAUGGAUCGUGGAGAUGGAGUGAAUUAUCCAGUAAAAUGAGAAACUGGGAGAGGAUGGGAUUGGACAUAAGGAUUUGGAAGUGAUGGCAGCUAUUGGAUAAUUGAAGCUAAAGAGGCUGAAUUUGAGCCCAGAGAUUUGUUGGAGCUUUAGAUUGGAAAUUAGGGUGAGAUUGAUCCCGAACCUUUCACCUUUCCUUGGAGUUCUUGAUACUUUGCCAAUGAACCUAUGAUACUAUGUUCUAGACAUCUCUCUGCUGAUGGAUCUCUUGCAGUGGAAGGGCUCUUUCUUUCCUUUUGCUUCUAUUUCUAGUAUCUGAGACAGCAUAGUAAAUACUGUCCAUCAAUAUUAGCUUAAUUCAGUAACAGAUCAGGAACUAGAGGAUUGUUUCUACUUUUAGGUUGGGUCUUUUUUAACAUGAUGUGAUAUUUUCAGGCAUCUAGAAUUUAAUGCAUGGACAUUUGUGUUUUCUUUUCCUUGUGGUUUCCUUUGAUGCGAAUCUUCACGGCAAGUGAAUGAUUUCCCUUUUUUGAUGUUGUGUUGUCAGGGUUGGUUGAAAAAACAAAAAGCUUGAAUUUAGAGGAACUGGGUCUGAACUGUAGAUCUAUCACCUCUUACUAGCCCAGUGGCCAUGAAUAAGUUACUGACGUUUUCUAAAUCUCAGAUUAGUUAUCUGCAAAAUAGGAGUUGUGAUUCCUGCCUUUCAGCAUUUUUUGAGUAUUUAGAAAUAGAAAUGAUUCAAUUAUAAUAUGGUAUCUGGCACAUGGUAUGUUCUCAGUAAAUGUUUUCUGGUUCUAAGUAUUUCUCACAGAUAAAUGAAUGCAUCUCAGAAGAAAUAUUUGGAAACUUACAUUUUGUUUCCUGAAAGUUUGCAGAAUCUGGAACUCACUCUUCACUCUUAAUCACUACUUCCUCAUGGCCUCUUAGGUAAUUGCAUUGUCUUCCUUAUGCCUUCAUUUUUAUAUGUGGCAAAGAAUGGCCUUAAAUUCUGUGACGUACAAAACAACCAUGCUAAUGCAACUCAUGAACAUUUUCCAAGUUGUUUUUUGCAAGACGGUUUAUAGAGUGUGUUAUUUGCACAUCUUGCUCAUAGAACAAACAAAAUAAUACUUACCUAUGUAAUGAUAUACAGUAUUAAAUCCCCCUGGGAAAAGAGUUGGUUUUAAACACUUUGAAAAGAAACUUUCAAGUUAGUGAUUUACACAGUUAAUUAUAAACAACAGGCUUGUAAUUAAGUGUUGCCAUUUUGGGUGGAAUUGGUUUCACCCAUCACUAAUCCGUCUAUCCUUGUCUUUGGCCUUUGAGAGAUUACGGGAAAAUGCACACGAUGAAAAGUUUAACUUGUCAAGUAUAAAUUUAGAUGCAAAGUCCGGAAUAUCAAACACCGCAAGUGAUAAUUAUCACCACCUGGAAAUAAUUUGUACCACUGAGUUAAGUAAAGAAUUCUCCCUUUCUGCUGAUGGGGAGUUUUUAACCUCCUGAUCACUGAAGCACUCCCUGCAGUUUACAGUGAUGUAUCUUGUGGUUCAUUCCCAGUAGUCAACAUAGCACCAAGCAAUUAGUAGAACACUGGAGGAUAAGUGUUAGCUUUGUAAAAUGUGACUAAGAUUAAACCAGGAGCAAAUUAGAAGCAAGGAUGAUUUUCUGUCCAGUUUUUAAGUUACUUGAAAUCUAUCCGGCUCAGUUACCUAUUGCUUCAGGUUUCAACAAAGCCUGGACCCUUUGUUUAAACAAAUAAUAAAUGAAGAAAAAUUUAAAACAGUGUGGUUUUCGGGAUUAUAUCUUAACCUUACAUAUGUUUUUCUCCUAUGUUAAAAAAAAUCUUUGCGAAGUCGUAAGAUGUGUCUAUUUAGUAGGAAAGCUAGUUUGGAGUCCCAAAACAUGGAGAUCAGAGGAUAUAUUUUUAUAAUAAAUAAAUAUGCGUUUUUAAGUACGUUUUGCAUGGUUGACCUACUUAGAUUCAGUUAAGGGUUGUGUGGCAGAAGUCUUUUAUUCUCAGAUGGCUUUUUCUAUAUAAAUGAGUUUCUCAUUAGCUUUUUUGAGGUUUUGAGAUUGUUAAUGCGAUUUUUGUAUAGCCCUCUGUAGGCGAGAGUUGAUUUUCAAAUUUUGACUGCUGUGUUUAACAAGAUUCAAUUCCCAUUCUCAAACAUUUACAUGUCUAAUUCUACGAACACAUUUUAUUUAACAAAAUAUAGUAAGCAAAAUGAAUCAUAACUAUGAACAUUUUCCAAAGACAUUUCAUGGGUAAGUCUUUAUAAAAAGAAAAACUACAUGUGAUGACUUAUGAGUGAAAGAUCAUAGAUAUCUGAAGUUACCUUCCAUGUUGUUUAAAAUUAAAUCAGGCUUUUUCUCUUCACUUUAAAAUAAGAUUUUUUUUUUCUUUUAAGGAGUCAUCUAAUAGAAAAUUUAAAACCACCUUCACUUAUCGAAUGAGAGGAAGGAGAUAGGAAGAGACUCAGAUAUGGUGUGGGCUCCCUCUGUUGCUCUGUUAACAGCGUUUUAUUCAUGAGAUAUGAUGUGAUGUAGAAAUUUUUGCUAAUGUGUCAAAACAAAUUGACUUUUCUCCAAAGGCAAUUUAUAACUUUAAUUUUAAUAGACUAUAAAGGAAAGUCCCUCUCAAUGUAAAAUUCUGACCUUCAGAUUUGUGUUAAUAUUUUUUAAAUGAUGAAGUCAUUAAAAAGACAUCUAUUUCUCACUAAUGUGAGGGAAAAGAAACUCCAACUGUAUUUAGGAAGCGCUCACUUAACUCCUAAACAUUACAGUAGGAUGCAGGCUCUAAUCUUGUAAAUUAUCUAUUUGGAUUAUGCUUGUGACAAGAUUGGCAGAUUAGCCAGGCAGAUGCAAGCCAACCUUUAUGUCAUAAUGAAAGCGAGAUCAUAAAAUAGGAACAUACACAAACACAUAGUGGUAAAAGUGAGAAGUUAUUUGAAUUUAUGUCAGUGACACUUUAUAAUACUGUGAAAUGCUGUUUUUGUAACCUAGGGUAAUUUUUAAAAUGUGUCUCAAAAGUUUAGGAUUAGAUGAACGUGCCUUUUUCUGUGUCCUGGCCCUGGACGCAGUCAAGUGAUUUCAGCAUAGAUACCUUAGUGCUUUACUUUGGUUGGCUCAGUAAUACCGUAUUUUGAGUAAGAGUCAUCUAAUUUUAUUCUCCUAGAAUUCAAUUUUAAGAAAUUCUGUUAUGUGAAAUGAUAGAACCCUUGACUAUAUCUAUUUGUGUAAUAGUGGGCAAUGUAAUCAUCACUUGUAAAAUGAGAUGUGAAACUUUUGGGGUUGAAAUAUUACCCAGAUUGUAAUACUCUGCAAAUGUUUAGUAACAAUUAAGAUUUAAAGUGAGCCAGGGGCGCCUGGGUGGCUCAGUCGGUUGAGCAUCCGACUUUAGCUCAGGUCAUGAGCUCACAGCUCGUGGGUUCAAGCCCCGUAUCAGGCUCUGUGCUGACAGCUGGGAGCCUGGAGCCUGCUUCGGACUCUGUCUCCAUCUCUCUGCCCCUCCCCCGCUCCCUUGUGUGUGUGUGUGUGUGUGUGUGUGUGUGUGUGUGUGCGCGCUCUCUCUCUCUCUCUCUCAAAUAUAAAAUAAAACAUUUAAAAAUUUUUAAAAAAGAUUUAAAGUGAGCUGCAGCACUAACCUUAUCUAAUAUCCAAAGCAUGUGCAUCAAAAGUCUUGGCUCUGAUGUGUGAAUAACUUUUUACUCUAGAUUUUCUUAACUUUUUUUUUUAACCUUCUAACACCUAAAAACAUUCAUUAUAUGGGAGGCAGUAGAAGUUCCUAAUGUCUUUCCAACUUUAAAAGGAGUAUUUAUGUUUUAUGUAAAUAAUUAUUAGAACUAAUCAUUGAAAACGAAAGGAAUAGAUAAUACAGCUUAUUUCUCCACACUUCUCUCCUUCAGACCCAAUCCAAGACGGUUAGCACUGUGUCUUUAACACUUUCUGUAACCACUUUUGCUGAUUUCCUUGUUCCUUGGUCUUCAAAAAGAAAGGGGAAAAAAGGGCAAGAAAGGGAUUGAGUUUUGGGGCAUUAUCUUUUUCCCUUUACAUGAUAGUAAGCAUAUGUAGAAAAUGUUUCCAUCGUCAGAAAUCUUUUACCAUAUAUUACGGACUGAAUGUUAUGCUUUAGUCACUCUGAAAUUCAUAUGCUGGAGCUCUAACUUCCAAUCUGGUGGUAUUUGGAGAUGAGGCUUUGGAGAGGUAAUUAGGGUUAGCUAUGGUCAUGAGGGUGAGGCCCUGGUCUAACGAGAGUAGUGCCUUUAGAAGAAAAGACACCAGAGAGCUUUCUGUGCAGGUGCAUAUAAAGGACAGGUAGUUUGCACAUAGUAAAAGGCAGCUGUAUACAAGCCCGGAAAAGAGACCUCAUCAGAAACUGAGCUCAGCUGGGACUUUGAUUUUGGACUUGUAGUCUCCAGAACUGUGAGAAUGUAAGUUCUGUUGUUUAAGCCAUACAGUGUGCUUUAUAAGGCAGCUUGAGCAGACAAAGAUAAGACACCAGGUUCAGAGGAAAUUUAGAGUGAAAAUUACUUUUAUUUUUAUUUCAUUUUAUUUUUUUAGUGCACACGAGUGGGGGAGAAAGGCAGAGGAGGAGAGAGAGAGAGAGAUAAUCUUUUUUUUAACGUCUAUUUACUUUUGAGAGAGAGAGAGAGAGUGAGGGGAAGCAGGGGAUGGGCAGAGAGAGAGGAAGAUAUAGGAUCCAAAGUGGGCUCUUUGCUGACAGGAGAGAGCCCCAUGCAGUGCUCAAAGCCACGAACUGUGAGAUCAUGACCUGAGCCAAAGUCAGAUGCUUAAAAGACUGAGCCAUCCAGGUGCCCCAGAAUCUUUUUUUUUAAGUUUAUUUAUUUAUUUUGAGAGAGAGGGCAUGAGUGGGGGGGAGGGGCAGAGAGACUCCCAAGCAGGCUUUGUGCUGUCAGUGCAGAGUCUGAUGCAGGGCUUGAUCCCACAAUCCUGGGACCAUGACCUGAGCCGAAAUCAAGAGUUGGCACUCAAUUGACUGAGCCACCCAGGUGCCCUGAAAAUUGCUUUUAAAUUGACAAAAGAAUGUAAGUCCUUUUGAUAUUUAAGAAAAAAAGUAGGGGCAUAAUUUGUAGGAAACCCUUAUGUGUUUUAACUUAAUUGUGUAAGCAUCAUACCCUCUUGACAGUUUGAACACUUAAAAUAUCUAAUUUUAACUCAUUCACUGUCUGUUUACAAAUAGGCUUUCAAGGAAAAAAAAGGCAAGUUAGACAGGAAGGAGGGUCCUUAAAAUUUGGUCAUGUUCAGAAUCAGAAAAUUCACAUAGGUACUUACUAUGUGGCAUUACAGAUAGGUUUUAAUAAUUGGCAACAUUCCAUUAUUGGGGCUCAUUUUCCACUGACCUCAGUUCAUGAGGGGGAGGGGAGGGUAUGUGGAAGUUACACUUAUAAAGUGUGGUGGACAGCCUAGCAGGUCACCUCACAGCUUAAGACUAUGAAUCUUCCAUUUUGAGCUAUCAACAAGCUGCUAAAAGUUUUAUGAAUCUAGAAUUUUCUCUCCUAUCCCAGCAUUCACCAGUGUUGCUCCAAUAUAAAAUUUUGGAUCUUCCAGAAACUGAAGUGCAGUUUCAAUUCCAUGUCUUACCUAGAUUAUAUAGACUUGUUUUAGAAAUGUUGGACCAAUUGUAGCUCUUUUCAAAAGAAAAUCAUGGUACAAAUAUAUAUUAUCCAGGGUCUGAUUAUCCGGAUUAUGUUGUAUACUUGGUGACUCUUCAGUACUUUUUCCUCAGAAUUUCUCAACCUCUUCAGUUCAGUGACCUGUAUGCUUUCUCUUUAGCUUUUCACAGAUGUGCCAUACCUCAGAUUUCAUUAUAACUUAACAACAACAUUCCCUUAAGACCAGGAACUCAGAAACCCCCAUCUUCCACCACAACCUUCCCCUUUUUCCUUGAGCUGUUCGAUUUCCUCAAUCUUUCCAGAACUCCAGUCUUUGCAUCAGUGGAAAUCUUCAGGAUCUCCUGCUGGGCCUCCAUUUAUGUCUUUGGCAGUCUUUUGGUUGGUCUUUAUUUGACUGCUUAUGAUGCUCCUCCCAAAGAGGGUCUUCUCUUUUUCUACCCUUCUCAAUUAUCCUAAACUCUCUCACUCUUUGUAAAUAAGUCUUCUGUUUUACCAACAGUGCUUCUUCGGCUUAAUCUCAUCCCUGAUAAGAAAAGGAGCUCUCCACCUUCCUUCUCAGCCUACCUGCUCUAAUCCCUUGCUUGAUCUAGCCUCUCCUCAGUUUUUCCUUUGCAAGUCUUCCUUUCUGCUAAUCCAUUGACCUCUUCAUAGAAAUGUAUAAAAUUGUCCCCUACUGUAUUAAUAUUUUUCUCUGAACAUUUUUUUCAGGUUUUUAUUUUGUUGUUGUUGAUUUUUUUUCCUUCAGUUCUCAGUCUCUCUGUUUGAGAAAUGGCUGGAGCUGGAACUUUCCUGAAAAUUUACUAUCAUAGCUAAUGGAUUCAACAAGGCCUAUAUAAUCAAAAAGCUUCUUGAAUUGGCUUGUCAGUUGGGUGGCCCUACUUAGGACACCUGUGGUUACAAGACUACUUUGGAUGCUUAAUAAUGGCAAUGGAUUAGAAAGUGGUCAGUCUAGUGUUUUUAAAAAAUCUGUAGGGGUGGGGCACCUGAUGGCUCAGUCAAUUAAGCAUCUUACUUUGGCUCAGGUCAUGAUCUUAUGGCUCUUGGUUUCCAGCCCCACGUCAGGCUCUCUGCUGACAGCUCAGAGCCUGGAGCCUGCUUCGGAUUCUGUGCCUCCCUCUCUCUCUGCCCCUCCCCUGCUUAUGCUGUCUGUCUCUCUCAAAAGUAAAUAAACAUUAAAAAAAAAUUUUUUUUAAUCUUUAGGGGCACAUGGCUGGUUCAGUUGGUAAAGCAUGCGACUCUUGAUCUCAGGGUCAUGAGUUCAGGCUGCACUUUGGUGGGUGCAGAGCAUACUUAAAAAAAAAAUAAAUCUUCUUUAAUUAUUUCAAUCUAUGGCAUCUUCUCCUUCUCUGAAUUUCUUGGGCACCUAUAUCAUUCAUUCCAGUCACUAUCUUCUGUUAAUUUAUAAAAUUAAUAAACCAUAAGUUCUUUAGGCACCUGUUUGUUUUAAUAUGAAAAUAACUUGCAUAUUCUUUAGGGUAGUUGGCGUGCCUAAUAUAUGAGUUAUGUUUUUAAUGGAGUUACUGUCUUUAUCUUGAUAUCACUCAUGUUUUCACAUUGAUGUGCACAUAUAUCCAAGUUUGAUGAGCUUGAGUCACUCCGGUUCUCUGCCUCACUUACGAGGACCACACAACUAGCUUGCUUCCUCAUACUAGUUAAAUGCUCUUUCUAUACAAACUCCCUGGGUUUCUCAUGCCUCAUUUUUUCCCAGACUCUGUGUUCUCCCAUGGCUACAUUUUGUCUUUACUUCCUCUUAUGUUCCCUGAAAUAUCCAGCACAGUGCUAAACACAGAGUUAACGCUUGGUGAUACGUGUCAUGAUCUUUAGAAAAUAUCUAAAAAAACCAAAGUCAGGUAAAAUAAACGUCAUCACUCCAUUCUCUGUGAUGGAAUAUUAUGAUGAUAGGAUGUCAGGAUGUCAAUGAGUAAUUAAUGACAGAACAUGGUCAGUCAGAUUAUGAAAUCUAUUGAAAAGAGAAAGCCUGAAGAACUGAUAGCAGGAGGAUUUUUUUUUCAUUAAGUUUUCCAGGUUAGAGGGAAAAUAUAGGAACCAGAUGAGUCACCCCAGCUUCUCCUUAUUCUCUUUCUUUACCCUUUGCCCUCAUAGAGAUUUGAAUGUUCGCUUAAGUGUCGAUGCUGAUUUAAUUUUUCACAGAUCUCCUGGACACGAAACAUCUUUAUAUUGCCCUGGCAGUUGCUAUUUUAGAUGUCUUGUUUUUGUUUGUUAGGUGUGCUGUGCAUAUUAGGAACUGUACUUUCUUCAUGCUGGUCUACUGGAUGCUGGUAAUGAGUGUUAUCAGGUGACUCCUUGGCAUUGACCUCUUAGUUGCUGUUGCCUUGGUCAACAUUAUGGAUAUUGUUUGCAUAAAAAUAAAUACACCACAGACUUUCUGUAAAGUAAUACAAAUUUUAUCCUGCAAAAACACCUUGUUGAUGAUUCUACUCUUGCUCACAUGAAAAGGGUGCAAAAUGGGCAUGAAAUCUUUCUGCAAAAUAAGCUGGCUAUUAUUCAGGAGAGGUAGUUGUAGAUGUUUACUGCAUGGAGCAGUUGUGGAAAUCACCUGUCUGGUAAGGGCAUUUACUAUCUUCCAUAUAAGCUAACUAAUAAGGACAUCUCUUUCUUCUUCACCAAUUUUUUAGAUCAUGCCUUUUAAUUAGUAUAAAAAUAGGGGGGCAGUUUUAACAGUGCAAAUGUGUGUGUGUAUGACUUUCGGUCUACGUAUUAUACAUGUAAUGGUUAUGUUAAAAUUUUACUCAGGUAAGUUCAUUUAACAUCACAGUAAAACUUUGCACAGGUGUUUGAAAGUCUACUCGUAGAUUUCACAUGUUGCCCACCUGACCUCUGUAGCUAUACUCACUCUUAUGUAUACCAUUUCUGCACUUGCCCUGCUAGAAACUUCAGUUGUUGUGUAUUUCAUUCUCAUUCCUGCCUUAGAGUCAGUCAGCUAACAGGUCUUCCUUAUGCCACUCGUUCAUAUCCAUUUCUUUUUUUGUUUUUAAUUCCUUGUGUCACUGCCCCAACUUGUUCUUAAUCAUCUCCUUCCUACCCCAUACAUAGCACAGAUUUCUCAGUGGUUUAACACAGUAUCUCCAGUGAUACUGUUCUUAACUGGCAUCAUUCUAUGUGCUCAUUAUAUUUAACUGCUCUCUGUUAUACGAUUCUAUUCUAAUUUCAUUCAAAUCUUGUUUUGAAAUAGCUUCUCCAAGAACCUUAAAUAAAGAACUCAGUAUCACCUUUAUAUACCGCAUGUUAUAUAUACCAUAUCUACAGUUGAGUAGUGUUACAUGAAAGCUCUAGAUGACUUCUAUAAGAGUUAAAGUGCCUAGUGGUUAAAGACCCAUUGAUUACCUAUACCACUGUUUAUCCACUGGGUUAGUUUGCAGUUUAUUUUUUAUCAUUUGUCCCUGUAGGAUUUUAGCACCCAUUCUAAGGAUAUUAGCUGGAUUCAUAGUCAGUGAAGUUGAAAUUAUCAUAUCCAUGUAUCAUAGGAACACUGAAGUGAGGUCAAGAGUGUUUUAAUCUUUAUUAUCAUUUAAAAAUGAAAAUCAGCUUUGCUUUCAUAAAUUGUUGGACUUUCUUGGUUGUAAUCCUGACACUCUUUAACUUUCUGGCUGUGUGAAUGCUCUACCCUCUCCCAGAGUGUUGUAAGAUUGAGAGAGUAUGUAUAAACUCACUUUAUUGAGUGUCUGGUGAGGUUAAGUGCUCAGUACACAUAAGUUAUUUGUUAUAAUCUAUUUCCUAUUAUAAAGAGAUAUGCAUUAGGCUUAUAGUUAUAUAAAAGUGAUUAGUAUAACAAAUACUGUCACUUGAAUUGUCCAGCUUUGCAACUUGUUGCAAAGUUUAGUAAAUAGUUAGCUUUGAGCUUUACUUUUCCCAGAAAAGGGCAUAUCUGUCUUUCAUGUUACCUAUUUGGUUAUUUAUUUACCUUUUUUCGCACAAUAUUUGCUUCUGAGUGCUAAAUGGAGAGAGAUGAGUAAGAACUGGCAAGUUUAAAACUAUUUGAGGCAUACCAACAAGUAAUUAAAUAUGCUUUGAUAUUUUCCAGUUUCACCUAUCCAUUGAAAUCUAAGAUGGCUCGAAACAAAAUCGUCCUUAUUUCCUGGUAAAAGAGUAGGAAGCUCUAACUUUGGGUGCUUUAGUCCGAUUCUGACACUUGGAUAAUGGAUAACAGUGACCACUUGAUUUCAACGUGGAGGGAACGGUUUAUCUCAGUUCUCUUAGCUCAGAGAAGGUAAUGCCAGCUGAAAUAAAAUACCAGAAAGGCUUCUUUUUAUUAAUGCUCAAUUAUCUUGAGUGUUUGGCAGGUAAAUAUCUCCUCAUCUAUUAACUGCAUUUUUUUAAAAGUUGACUUUUCUCCUCAGGACCAUUUUCAAAGUGAAGGUGUAAUUGGCUAGUGAAAGGGACCUUUACCUCAUAUAGUUUAAGUUUUAUUAUAAAUUGCUCAUUGGUGUAUUAAAAACAAGGUGAAGGAGGGGAAUUAUAACUGUUCUUUUAUUCUCUUUUCCUGUCACUGAAUUUUCUUUCUUAUUUUCUUAUAUAGGAACUCAGCAUGAAAAGAUGUAGAAAACUUGAAUGUAUUAUUUGUUAGAUUGCCAGAAAAAGUGUACUCCUUAAAACAUCCAUUUUUCUGGUUUCAAUAGUGAACAAAGCCUCACACAUGUUUAGAGCUAAAUUAUUUCACUGUGUAUGUUAGAUAUAAUUUUGCAUAUUUAAAAAAUAGAUGGUGAUGUGUGUUCUGAAAUGAUGUCAUUCUUACAGGGAGCAACACAUUUCCUUGGGAUAUUGGACAUUAGGGAAUAAAGAUUUAGGUGACUGCUAAAAAUUAAUAAGAAGGCUGAAGUCAGAAUGAAAAAAAAAUGGCUAAGUGUUGAAAUCUCUGUUUAUGUUGUUUAUAUAAUCAACACCUUCUCAUCAAACUCUUGAACCCAAUGUAUUAUGAAACCUGAUAUCCCCUGGAAUACUUGGAUACAAAAUGCCCAGUCUUCUUAUAUUCCCCAAAGGGACUGGACCCUUGGGAGAAACACAUAAUAUAUAUACUUUGGAGCAUUGGUAGGUAGCUGGAAAAAUUUAUAAAAGGCAGCUUCACACCAGUUAUCUCUCUCCUAUGAAUUAAACCAUUCAGAUUCUUUUUGCUAAAAAUUCCUUGGUAGAAGACCAAAUUUGAGUUAUUGUUCAAAAUUGGGCUACUGGGCACUGUUUCAAGGGUCAGUUUUGCAAUUAAUCCUUAUGUGACUAGCUAAUUUAUUGCUAGUAGAAACAAAUAGUCUGGUUCUUUGCCACAUAAUUUAAGGCAGGCCAAUCUGGGGAAUCCUUUUCUAAUGUACUAGAACUAAUGUUUUGUCUUUAGCACAUAGUUUAUUGCCUUCUCCUAUGUGAGGCAUGAAUUUGUGAAUUUUAAUUGCGAUUGCAUUAUUUUUUUGAUUUCUAGUGUUUAGGCAUCUUCUCUCUCUCCCUUCUUUUUCCCGCUCUCAGAAUUAAGUCUUUUAACCCCCUUCAUAACUUUUUGGCUUUGUCUAAAUUAUAGAACUGGUAUAUUGUUAGAAAAUAGAAAGGAAACAGAUUCAGAAUAUUUGAAGAUAAUAACACUGGUGCUUUUUUUCUGUGUUACCUGCUGGUUCUAACAUCUUCAGGCUAUAAAAAAAUAGACCCAAAUAGGUCCCAUUGUAGCAUUACCAGUAUGAACUAAGUGAUCCAGAUGUCUCUUGAGUAUUUUACAUGUUUCCACUUUCACCUGAUUUAAUCUGUUAGUGUUUUCUGACCUGAGUGCCAGUUCUGAAAUCUUUUCAAGUGGUUUUCUGCCCUACAUUAUUUCUCUGUAUAUGCUUUGUCAGUGGCACCAUAACAAUUUUAGGUGAAGAGACAGUUGUCACUGUUUUUAAAGUUGUAUCUGUUAGUCACACCAAACAGAUGACAUUUUUUUUAAAGAUAAAAAAUCUUUUAAUUUUCUUAUUGUUUAAUUUAUAUCCAAGUUAGCAUAUGGUACAACAAUGAUUUCAAUAGAUUCCUUAAUGCCCUUUACCCAUUUAGCCCAUCCCCCCUCCCACAACCCCUCCAGUAAGCCUCUGUUUGUUGUCUAUAUUUAAGAGUCUUUUAUGUUUUGUCCCCCUCCCCGUUUUCAUAUUAUUUUUUGCUUCCCUUCCCUUAUGUUAUUUUGAUUUGUAUCUUAAAUUCCUCAUAUGAGUGAAGUCAUAUGAUAUUUGUCUUUCUCUGACUAAUUUCGCUUAGCAUAGUUCCAUCCAUGUAGUUGCAAAUGGCAAGAUUUCAUUCUUUUUGAUUGCCAAAUAAUACUCCAUUGUAUAUAUAUACCACAUCUUCUUUAUCCAUUCAUCCAUCAACAGACAUUUGGGCUCUUUCCAGACUUUGGCUAUUGUUGAUAGUGCUGCUAUAAACAUUGGGGUGCAUGUCCCCCUUCGAAACAGCACACCUGUAUCCCUUGGAUAAAUACCUAGUAGUGCAAUUGCUGGACUGUAGGGUAGUUCUAUUUUUAAUUUUUGGAGGAACCUCCAUACUGUUUUCCAGAGUGGCUGCACCAGCUUGCAUUCCCACCAACAAUGCCAAAGAGAUCCUCUUUCUCUGCAUCCUUGCCAACAUCUGUCGUUGCCUGAGUUGUUAAUGUUAACCAUUCUGACAGGUGUGAGGUGGCAUCUCAUUGUGGUUUUGAUUUGUAUUUCCCUGAUGAUGAGUGAUGUUGAGCACUUUUUCAUGUGUCGGUUGGCCAUCUGGAUGUCUUCUUUGGAGAAGUGUCUAUUCAUGUCUUUUGCCCAUUUCUUCACUGGAUUAUUUGUUUUUGGGAUGUUGCAUUUGAUAAGUUCUUUGUAGAUUUUGGAUACUAACCCUUGAUCUGAUAUGUCAACAAAUGAAGUUUUAUGUAGAUUUCCACUGCUAUUAACCCCUCUGCACAUCAGUAUCUUUGGGCUCUCUCUAUGUAUAUUCUCCAGUAGAACUUACUGUGAUGUUGCAAAUUUUCUAAAAAUCUGUACUACCCAGAUUUGAUUGCCUCUAAUCACACAUGGCUGUUGCACACUUGAAAUGUGCCCUUGUGCUAUCGAAUAAUGGAAUUUUUAAUUAUAUUUAAUUUUAAUUAUUUAAAAUUUAAAUAGCCAUAUAUGGCUACCAUACUCGAGAGUACAACUCCAGAAAAUCAAUUUUUAUUAAUCUCUAUAUCAUGUGUCAAUGAUCUUGAAUUAAUCAAGUACUUUUUUUUUUAACCAAUGGAAGCAACAGAGGUUUUUUGUUGUUUUUUUUUUUAAUGUUUAUUUUUGACAGAGAGAGAGAGAGAGAGAGACAGAGCAUGAGCAUGGGAGGGGCAGAGAGAGAGGGAGACAGAAUCCGAAGCAGGCUCUAGGCUCUGAGCUGUCAGCACAGAGCCUGACAUGGGGCUCGAACUCACAGACUGCGAGAUCAUGACCUGAGCCAAAGUCAGACACUCAACCGACUGAGCCACCCAGGCGCCCCUCAAGUACUUUGACCAAUGUGUUUAUAAAACAAUAUCAGUUCAUAAAAUCUAAGCUCACUUAGUCUCACACUAAUCCACAUUUCACAAUCUCUUAAUUACCUUUGAGAAACAAAGGACUUACGUUGCCUGUUGGUGUGUUACAUGUAUGAUAUUUAUAUCCAGAUACAGUUCAAAAAUCCAAAAUUCUUCUUAACCAUAAUACCAUUUGCACUUGCUUUUCCUGCCUCCUAUGAGAUCUCACUCCAUCAGUUAUUCAUCUCCAUCUGUUGCAUCUUCAUUUUCUCCUUUCUUACUUAGCUGAUCACUCACCUACCAUCAUGAAACCUCUCCUCUUCUACUAAGGCCUUAACAACAACCAUGUUAUUCCAAGGGGACUGUAAGCUCCAUGAGGGGAGGGACUGAGGCUAUGUUAUGACCCCAGAGUUUAGCAUAAUGGGUGGAGCAUUGCAAGAGUUCAGUUCACGUUGUGAAUGAACAAACAAAUGUUGUCCCCUCCCAGUACUCUAAUUCAGUGUGGUAUAAAGACAACCUCAGAGAUAGCUUGAAGUCAGCUUCGGAUGCAGCUUAACUUUUCUGAAUUUCAUUUUCCAUUCAUAAAAACAAGAUAAUUUCCAUUCAUAAAGUUGAACUAUAGCAAAUAGAGUAAAGGAGAAAAUGGGCUAAUAUAUUGUAAUUAACUGUAAUAGGCUCAAAACAAAUUGUAAAAUGUGGCAAGUAGUAGUUGUCUCACAUUGGUUGAAUAAAUGAAUGACUUAAACAGAUGUUACUGUUGGUAUUCAUCUAUGAAACUCAAGUGGAGUAAAUUGCAAUUUAUAAUGGUCAACUAUCACAAUCUCUCCUAUGUAUUUAUAGAAAUAAUAAAUUAUCAUUGAAUUUUAAAAAUCAUUGCCAUAUUUAUUAAAUCAUUUUAAUCUUGAGCAAGGUGAGAUUGAUAUAUACUAUAAUGGGUCAGAAUCCAUGGCACAUGUGUUUUGCAUCAGAGUUUUGAAAAUAAUGAUGAAGACAACAUAAAAGGAAUACUUGUUGCUGUUGUAUCAUUUUUCACAUUUAAAAGCUUUGAUUCAACCCACUCUCUCAUACUUCUAAGGUAUUAACAAAAGUGAAAGCUAUAGUUUUCAGGAAUCAAUCAGAUAAUAAGACCGAAUGGUUAUUAUUAUUAUACCUAUAAACCCAUAAAAUGUGUUUCUGUUGCUUUUUUCUGUUACCUGUCCUACCAUCACCAGUUUUUAAGAACAAAAUAUCUUCUGUGGCUUGCUUUUAAGAGCAUAAACUUCACACUGGUAUGCGGAACGCUGUGUGAGCCUGUUGGAAUAGUAUAGAUUCUGCUUUCUUGGCCUCUUCAUAAUGUAGACAAAUCCUUCUAUAUCUGAGUUUAGAGGUCAAUUAUAAUCGUACAAGAAUUCAAUUUGUAGGGCAUUGAGUUAAUAAUGUUUUCUAUCAUAGGCUUUCUAUGUUUUAUGGGAAAGUUUGUACACAACCCUGUGUAUUCACAGGGAGAAGAACUGAUCUGAUUUCACUGAAUCCAGAAUAUAACAAAUAUAACCAGAAGAUUGUCUUUAAUAUAUAAUUUCUGAUGAAAUGGAAAGAUUUAAUGCUCAGAUAAAAUGAUUCAGAUACUUUCCAAAAGGCAGCCGCCCCCACCCCCCACAAUUGGAUUUGUCAUGUAUUAAAGCCCUGAUCUCUAGAAAAACAUGUCGGAUAUUCAGACGGAAUUUUAGAGGUAUGUCAGUGGCCUUUCAAAGUAAAGUUUGCAUAGAGUUUGGUUUUCAGAUGGAACUGAUUUCUAGAUACUAUGUAUGCUUAUAUGUCACUUUAGAAAGAGGCACAGCCAUCAUAUGCCCCAAAUCUUAGCAUGAUGCAGCUUUCUAAGCAACCUCUUGGAACACCAAACAAAAGGGUAGGUCAAACAUUGGUUUUCUUGGAUGCCUCAUUCACCUUAUCAAAACAUCUUAAACUAUUAAGCUUCCUGUCUUUACCUGUCUUUUACAUUUUAUUAUUUAUUUCUGUUAAGGGUAAAAGUUGCAUAUUUGCUGCUAUGUUGGAAUUCUCUGAGUAUGAUCUUUUCUUCCCCCCAAACUUUAGGAUCUGAUCUUAGAAAAGUACAUUCAAAAGGUAUCAGAGAGGAUUUUGGUGAAUAAAAUAGGAUCAAGGUGCAUGAAAAACAAUAGCUUGGCUACCUGUUGAUCAAAAUGACAAUAAAAUUUCUAAAUAAACUUAGAAAUAACAAUUUUAUGAAACCAUAGAUCUUUCAGAAUUAAGGGCAUGCGGAAGAAAGCUCAAAGCGUAGAAAUUUAUUCUGGUGAGCAGAAUCCCUGCUCUCUGGAUUUAUUACACAGAAGGUAUAAAGUAACCUUUUUCUAACCGUUGCUCAGAACAGACUAAAUGCUCUAUAUCAUUCUAGCAAAGAUUAAAAAUAUAUCUAAUUUUGCAUUAAUACGAUAUAUGGUGGAAAAGGAUUCCCAGAUUCCCUUUUGUUGUAUUUUACGUGUAAGUCUAUUGACAUCAGAGUUUAACGUAUUUUACUAACUUUUUCAGGUUUGUUGUUUAGUGGUAUUAUUAAACCAGCUCAAAUAGCAUUUCUUCCCUUAACUCUUAUACAACAUUGCACAUGCAAGUUUCAUCUUCCACUAUGCUUUUUCAUACUAUAGACCAACCAGACACUUCACUUUGAAAACUACUUUAUUUUUUCUAGUUUCCCCUUGAUAUAAACAAAGACCAUAUUCUAUAACUUUCUUGCCUAGUUGGAUUUCCUGCCACUAUUGCUUAUUUAAAGUCCCAAUCACCCAUAUUAACUAUAAUGUUUAACCAGAUGAGGUAAUUUCUGUUUCACAGAGUUAGGAGGUAGAUAUUUAAGAUGUGUAUGUCAUUCACAAUCAUUUUAGCGGAUUUGCAGAUCUCAUCCAUGCCAUCACAGGUACCUACAGUCACACUCGUAGAUUUACACUUUUUUUAAAGUGGGAAAAAUGUAUACUUAGAAUAUAAUGAUCCAGAGAUACAGCAACGCUAUAAUUUUGAUAAACUGGUGAUCGGGUUAUUAAUUCCCUAUCUUACUUAAAAAUUUACCUGUCUAAAGAUUACUCAUGAAUGCAAUUAUGUUUAGGUUAACCGGCAAACUGCAGAAUGUAAUUAUUGUUAAUAUAAAAACACUUUGAUUAGGCACAUAAUUUUAUAUUUGUCACAGUCUUGGACAUAAUGUUGGAGAAAUGUUAGCAGUGAACCUUUGUAAGAAGUUUUGGAAGCUCAUAUUAACUAGUCUUUUCAUGAGGACACAAAACUAAAUUUUAUAAAAAAAAAAGCAUGAGCUUGGAUUAUACAUGACCAUCAAUAAAAUCAGAGAAAGAUAAGUGGUUUUUAUCAAACAAAAUGAUCCAUUUAUAUUUAUUUAUAUUUAUAUUCUUAUUUAAGGUGCCCUAAGCUAGCAAAUUCCAUAGGAUUAUAAUUUUUUCCCUUAAAUACUAGUUCAUUUAAAUUUCAGAAGUUCAGUUUAUUUUCUUGGAAUGUGGGACUUUUGGAAUAAACAAUCCUAACACAAUGAAUUUAAAUUAGGCAUUAUCAUAUAAUUUAUCCAGACAUACUGGAUAUAGAAAACCAUUUUAAAUUUAAAAGUCCCCUGUCAGAAAUACAGAAGCACAGAGCACUUUUUAGCUUUAAGUCUUCAAUCUCAGCCAUGAGUCAAGAGUAAAUAAACAUGAAAUUCAUUGGUUGAAAGCUGAAAUUUGUGUUCUCUUCUCCAUGGGCAUGUAAUGUGUUCUUGCACAAACAAUAUAAGAGACUAACAAAACAAUUUCUGUUGUCUCUUACCCAACAGAGAAUAGAACCCCAAGAUCAUCAAAUGGUCAAUCAUAGGAUUCCCUAUCAUUGGUGUUACCAAUAGGAAAUAACUUAUUUGCUAUGUGGAUGCCAGAACCAAAACCAAUAAUGUGGCCAAGAACCAGAAAGGAAAACAAAAUCACACAGUUAGGUUAAGAAAAAGAAACAGAGAGCAACUGAAGGUAAAGUUUCAUUGCUAAGUUUUAAGUUGCUUGAGAUUCACUCCCAGAACCAAAAAAAUAAAAAUGAAAAAGAGUGCCUUUGCCUAAAUAUUUCUGGAAGGUGAAUCUGCCUAGUCAAAAAAUCUGAAGGUCAAAAAAAUAAAUUUGAAAACAUGCUUGUACAAAUACAUAAUAAACUCAUGUUAAAGAUUGUUUUUAGCUCAAUAAAAGAACCAGUAGGAAGGCAAAGCUACUUUGAAGGAAAAUCCGGGGAACAUGAGUUAUAUAGUCCUUUAGGAAUGACAUCCUGACUUAGAAACAAAAACCAUUAAUAUUGUCCAGCAGGACAAUGGAAACUUAACCUUUGGGGUUAUCAUUGCUUUUGGACAGAAAAUUAUCAUGUAACUUCACAGAAUCUGAGACUGUAAUUAAUCGUAAAUAGCAAAGUCAAACACAGGUUUAUUUUCCUAGAUAAUUAAGUAAUCCUUAUGUGAGCCUGCGAAGAAUCCCUUAGUGUAUAACUGAAAGAACAUGCUACCUCCUUUUUAUUUUGCCUUAUUUCCAAACUUGGGGUUAUUUUUCAUAGCAGUACUAAUGGAGAAAAAUUUUAGAUGUCAGCUUAAAAAUUUUCACGGUAAAAUAAGAUUCUCGGUUUUUUAAAGCAUACAUAGUAAGUUUGACUACUGAAUAGACUAUACUUAUCAUGUAGCUCAUUAAUCCAACAUGUUAAAUGGCUCAACCAAGAAUCAAUCUAUAGUUACUUGUGAGAAGAAGGGCUGGAAGACCGAUGAUCUGAGAUGAGCUGGGAUAAUGCCCAGUCCUCUGUUUUUCUUCCUAUACUUUUCCUCCUUUGUCUGUUACUUCUGGUCUCCUAGGCACAAGAUGUAUGUGUGUGCAUAUAUACAGAGCAUUCCUGGAAUUGAAACUUAAGGAUAAUCGUCUUGGAACUGCUGACAGGAUAAAAACCCUCUAUAAUUAACACUGCCAAUCACAAUCAGGACAUAUAUUAAUGCUGCUUUUUAAAAGUGUUUCCAUAUUUCCUGUUGAUGAAUUAGCAAAACAGUCAUGAUUACAUUGACAGUGAAGAGGUAUGUAUAUGAAUCGAUGUCUAGAAUGUAGAUAUGUGUUUCCUUCUUUGCUGGGGUCAAUACUGUGGAUAGAAUCAAAUGGAAACUAGAAAUGCCAUGAAUUGCUGCUAAAAUGUAGUUAGGAAUUUCAUAAGCAAUUUUUCUUGGAAAGCACAUUCUAGAAUAUUGUGUUUAAUAAUUACUAUUUUAGAGUUUCAGAAAAAAACAUAUACAUUAUAAUUGACCCUUUUUUUUUCCUUUUAGUUGUCAUAAAACCUCACUUUCUUUUUAUGUUUAUUUUUGAAAGAGAGAGACAGAGUUUGAGCAGGGGAGGGGCAGAGAGACAGGGGGAGACACAGAAUCUGAAGCAAGGUGACAGCUCAGAGCCUGGAGCCCAACACCGGGCUCGAACUCACAAACCAUGAGACCAUGAACCUGAGCUGAAGUCGGACACGUAACCGACUGAGCCACCCAGGUGCCUCGAACCUCACUUCUUAAUCCGUGUUUUUAAUAAAUACAAAAUUCAAAUAGCACCUUUCAUUUUAUUUCUUUAGUUUUUAAAUCUCUUCACUUUAGCAUGAAUGUCUGCACAAUGUGGAGCAAAGCCUUUUGCACUUAACAUCAUAAGAUAGAAAACAUUUUUAUGGGUAUUCGAUUUCAUGGCCAAAUACUUUAAUAUUUUUUGUUGGCUUCACAUCUGUUGUGUACUUAAGUACGUUGCAAAGAACAAAAUAUACAUAUUUUAGAAGUGCAACUCUUAAGUUUUUUUUUUUUAAA